rnacentral:rRNA from 1 species
AGUCGAGCGAGCUUGCCUAGAUGAAUUUGGUGCUUGCACCAGAUGAAACUAGAUACAAGCGAGCGGCGGACGGGUGAGUAACACGUGGGUAACCUGCCCAAGAGACUGGGAUAACACCUGGAAACAGAUGCUAAUACCGGAUAACAACACUAGACGCAUGUCUAGAGUUUAAAAGAUGGUUCUGCUAUCACUCUUGGAUGGACCUGCGGUGCAUUAGCUAGUUGGUAAGGUAACGGCUUACCAAGGCAAUGAUGCAUAGCCGAGUUGAGAGACUGAUCGGCCACAUUGGGACUGAGACACGGCCCAAACUCCUACGGGAGGCAGCAGUAGGGAAUCUUCCACAAUGGACGCAAGUCUGAUGGAGCAACGCCGCGUGAGUGAAGAAGGGUUUCGGCUCGUAAAGCUCUGUUGGUAGUGAAGAAAGAUAGAGGUAGUAACUGGCCUUUAUUUGACGGUAAUUACUUAGAAAGUCACGGCUAACUACGUGCCAGCAGCCGCGGUAAUACGUAGGUGGCAAGCGUUGUCCGGAUUUAUUGGGCGUAAAGCGAGUGCAGGCGGUUCAAUAAGUCUGAUGUGAAAGCCUUCGGCUCAACCGGAGAGUUGCAUCAGAAACUGUUGAACUUGAGUGCAGAAGAGGAGAGUGGAACUCCAUGUGUAGCGGUGGAAUGCGUAGAUAUAUGGAAGAACACCAGUGGCGAAGGCGGCUCUCUGGUCUGCAACUGACGCUGAGGCUCGAAAGCAUGGGUAGCGAACAGGAUUAGAUACCCUGGUAGUCCAUGCCGUANACGAUGAGUGCUAAGUGUUGGGAGGUU